CAUUCCACCGCAACAGCUCUGGCAGUUGCUUUCUCUUUCUGUCUCUGUUAGCUUUUCAUCUUCCUGAGAGUCCAGAAGCCUCCCCGUCAGAAGUGUGUUAACAGCAGUUCAGCCCAUUUCAGGGUGAAGGACAGUUUGUCAUCUAACUGUUUUAACCCUCUUAGGGAGAAAGUACAUAGACUGAAAAGAAUUUGACUGAACGAAGACUCGAUCACACGCUGUGUACCCGCCCUGUUUUAUGAUGUGUCUGGCCGCAGAUCUCUGAUUUAGUCCUACCUGGAGUUCAUUGAACUUCUUGGAUAUGUAGAUUAAUGUUUUUCAUCAAAUUUGGGCUUGAAUUUCUCAUUCAUUUGGUAGCUUAGAGUCCCAGGAUUAAGAUAUGGUGAUGCAUGGAGGGAGAACCCCACUCUGGGAAGAGAAGAGCAACAGCAUCUCCUGUCUCCCUCAGUCCAGGCUUUGUGCCAGAUUAUCUCACGGAUCCUCACAAGUACACAGCCUAGGUGACUUAAAAGAAGAAGAGAUUAAGACACAGACAGAUACAGAGGAAAGAUUACAUGAAGACUCAGGAAAAUGACGCCAUCUACAAGCGAAGGAGAGAGGCCUCAGGAUAAAUCAACCCUACAGACACCUUAA
rnacentral:lncRNA from 1 species